GCCCAGGUGGUGGAAUGGUUUACACGCAGGACUUAAAAUCCUGUGACAGUAAUGUCAUGUGGGUUCGACUCCCACCCUGGGCA
rnacentral:tRNA from 1 species